rnacentral:lncRNA from 1 species
AGUGCUGGGAUUACAGACACGAGCCACCGCUCCCAACCAGAUUUGCCCUUAUAAAUAUUCACAAGUCGGCAUACCAAAGACAAUACAACGAUUUCCCAAGGCUGCAUCAAACAUCUUUUUAGAUGUAUCUGGGAUGGGUGGGAAAGCCAUUUCUAAUUAUCUCGACGUGAAAAGGGAGAACCCGUUAAUGAGAGAAACGAAGAGAACUAGCUUUAGGGGGAACUUCAGGAGGGAAGAAAGGCCUCACCACAGGCUAGAAUGGGGCCCUCACCACAGCCACUGAGCAGGGCCAGGAGGAUGCGGAGCUCCAGCUCCACCGCCAGGACUUCCAUUCCCCCUCUGCCCUGGGGAGGAAUUGGAAGGCUCCGCUGGCCUCCCCAGUCCCACUCCUCCACCCCGAGCAGAAGCAAGUGAAAGAAGUAAACGCAGACCCUGCCAGGGUUGCCUUGGCUUUUCUGCAGCUCAGAGCUGAUGGGCUGUCUGUCGGACGGGCAGGGGUGGAGGCACCUCCCUCCAGGCUUAUGGCCCGGGGGAUGUCCUUGAGCCCCUCCCCAGGGCUCCCGGAGCUUGUCUUUCCUGUUCUGUCUCUGUGGCCUGGGUAUCACAAGGGAAGGAUUUGGUGUCAUACUGCCUUCCACAGCCUGUGGCUGCAUGCCAGGUCCCAGUGCCCACAAGAAAUACGACUCCACCUGCUCCAGGGGACAGGCAGGCCACACGACUCUCGGAGCUCACUGAGAAGUGGGUGCAAGUCUCCAGGCAUAGAGUGCCACUCAUCUGAACCUUGCUGGGCUUCCCUUUGGGGCUGAGAAGGAGCCCCGGCGUUCCCAGCAGAUUGGAAGCUCCCUCUAUGGUCUCCUCGGCAACCACAGGCUGCUGGCCUCUCUGAGCAGCGGUCUGGGGCUGAGCUGCCAGGUGACUGCACUGUCCCCAUCCCUGCUCGGCUGCAGCAGCAAAUUCACAUGCCGUAAUGAAUGGUCCCAGCCUAAGACGGGGGAUCUUAGGAAUGAAGGUGUUGUGGGGGUUAACAUGGCUUCUGGGAAGGAAAUUCAAGUUGUAUCCACAGGAAGAACUCAUACAUACCUGGGUUCAUCUGGCAAACUAGAAAGCAAUGGCCCAAGGAGGGCAUCAGGGCAGGGGAGCAGAGAAGCCUCUCAGAGAGCACUCGCCCUAAGGGAAGAAGGAGCUGGAGGACACGAAUGCACCGAGAGCCUCGUGGAGGAGGCGAGCGCUCCUGAGCAGUAGCUGAGACUCUGACUGGACCCCGCACGGACCCCGUUCACUUUACGUCUGAGCUCUAUAGAGGGUGAACGCCCGAAGCAAGAAUGAGCUCCGGAGAAGCCCAAGGCCAUGCACAGAGCGCGUCAGUGACGGUUCUUCACUGAAGGCCACAAAACCUGAUUCCGGCUGAUAGGAGCUAAGAAGGAAUGCUGUGAAAGGGUAUCACGUAGCUCACAAGGCGGCUGGCCCGCAGGACUGGAAAACUAAAAGAAACAAAAGGUUCCCGUGCAGCUGGAACCACAGCCACAGAACCAGCCCAGAGACAGGGCUGCCGCCUUCUCCCUGACAAAGCCCAGAGAGCUCAGCAGGCACCUCCGAUAUUGCCCAUGGUGGAUGCUGGAUGUCGCUGCCACCACCAUCAUUGCUGCCACCACCACCACCACCAUCAUCACCACCACCACCAUCACCACCGUCACCACUACCACCACAGUGGCUGGAAAGAAUUUGCCCCUGUCCCAGCUUCACUGCCGUCACUGGCUCCUGAUUCAAAGUUGGAGGAGGCUGUGGAGGGAAGGAUCAGUCAGACACUGACGGCCAAGAAGGAGGAGGAAGAGGAGGAGAAGUGAGAAGAAACAAACACUCCAGCUUCAAACAUAUCUUGAAUAAGUCACUCCUGCUCUCCAGGCUUCAACCUCCUCUUCCAUCGUGACCGUCCACAUUGCGUGGGGGUCAUGGGAGGAAAUGGGUGAGAGUCCUGUCACUGGCAGCGUGGCAUUUAACCCGGUCACUGAUAUCCAGCUUCUACUCAGUCAACGCUUGCUGAAGGGAUGACAACAGAGGCCUCUGGGGGCUA